rnacentral:tRNA from 1 species
GCGCCGGUGGUGUAAUGGCGUAAAGCAUUUCCGUCUGGUCAACAGGUGGUGCGGGUUCGAGUCCCACCAGGCGCU